UGGGGAAUAUUGGACAAUGGGCGAAAGCCUGAUCCAGCAAUGCCGCGUGAGUGAUGAAGGCCUUAGGGUUGUAAAGCUCUUUUACCAGGGAUGAUAAUGACAGUACCUGGAGAAUAAGCUCCGGCUAACUCCGUGCCAGCAGCCGCGGUAAUACGGAGGGAGCUAGCGUUGUUCGGAAUUACUGGGCGUAAAGCGUACGUAGGCGGUGACUCAAGUCAGAGGUGAAAGUCUGGAGCUCAACUCCAGAACUGCCUUUGAAACUAGGUCGCUAGAAUCACGGAGAGGUGAGUGGAAUUCCGAGUGUAGAGGUGAAAUUCGUAGAUAUUCGGAAGAACACCAGUGGCGAAGGCGGCUCACUGGACGUGUAUUGACGCUGAGGUACGAAAGCGUGGGGAGCAAACAGGAUUAGAUACCCCCGUAGUCCCUGAGCGGGCUGGCAAGGCGCAU
rnacentral:rRNA from 1 species